UACGAGGGGGGCGAGCGUUGUUCGGAAUUAUUGGGCGUAAAAGGUGCGUAGGCGGUUUGGUAAGUCUGAUGUGAAAUCUAUGGGCUCAACUCAUAGUCUGCAUCGGAAACUGCCGGGCUCGAGUGUGGGAGAGGUGAGUGGAAUUCCUGGUGUAGCGGUGAAAUGCGUAGAUAUCAGGAGGAACACCUGUGGCGAAAGCGGCUCACUGGACCAUAACUGACGCUGAGGCGCGAAAGCUAGGGGAGCAAACAGG
rnacentral:rRNA from 1 species